GAGGCGUUUUGUGGAUUUGCCUCUUUUCCCUUCCCGCUCUACUCACGGAUCUAAAGUAGGAGGAAGAGAAUCAGGCUCGACCUGCUUCCUGCAGAGCCCUGGGUGGGUAAAGCAAGCGGACCUCACAGCUGAGAUGUGCACCCAGACGGCCGGACUCCAGCGCCUCAACCCGACCCCUGUGCUCACUUGGAGACCCAUGAAUGGGCUGUCAAAGAAAGGACAGAAGCUCCUGUAACCUAUGGGCACAGACUCUCCUUGUCUUCCUGCCUGGGGCCAGGACACCUUGUGGUUCUCUGUGCCUGGUCUUGGAAGUCCAGCUGGAGGUAGAGAAGCAAGCCAGCUCUCCAGAGCAGGACACAGGACAAGAGAAGCGUCUUUCAAAGGGAGGCGGCAAAGAUCAAAUUUCAAGACAAGGGCUCAGGAUCUGGAAAGGAAAUCAGGGCAUAGAGAGAAUGGCUUAAGAACCCCGUUGCUAGGGAUCCCUGGGUGGCGCAGCAGUUUGGCGCCUGCCUUUGGCCCAGGGCACGAUCCUGGAGACCCGGGAUCGAAUCCCACGUCGGGCUCCCGGUGCAUGGAGCCUGCUUCU